UGGAUGGGAUUUAGGGCCAGUUCAAUAUGAACUCUUUACAUCUGACGGGCAACAUGCAGUGAGUGAGUACUCCCUAGAUGAUAGCGAUCAAGAUGAUACAAGUGCGAAUUUAAAGCGUGGCGACUGGAUAGAAUACAAGGUGGGUGAAUUUAUAGUAAGUAGGUCCGACCCUGCUACUGAAGUUAGAUUUUCAAUGAAACAG
rnacentral:misc_RNA from 1 species